rnacentral:rRNA from 1 species
CCCCCAAUUUUCCUUAUUAAUCAUGGGGGGGUUAAAACCAAAAAAACCGGGCCCCCGUCCUAUUUUAUUAUUCCAUGCGUAAUGUAUUUAGGCAAAAGCCUGCUUUGAACCCUUUAAUUUUUUCAAGGUAAAAGUCCUGGUUUCCCCCCACGCUAAAUUAAAAACAUGAUGGUUCCCCAGAAGGUAGAAAUUUCACCCCCCAGUACGAGACAAUACCCGAACCACGCUGAACCCCCAAAAUUCACUUCCAA